UACGAAGGGGCUAGCGUUGCUCGGAAUCACUGGGCGUAAAGGGUGCGUAGGCGGGUCUUUAAGUCAGGGGUGAAAUCCUGGAGCUCAACUCCAGAACUGCCUUUGAUACUGAGGAUCUUGAGUACGGAGAGGUGAGUGGAACUGCGAGUGUAGAGGUGAAAUUCGUAGAUAUUCGCAAGAACACCAGUGGCGAAGGCGGCUCACUGGCCCGAUACUGACGCUGAGGCACGAAAGCGUGGGGAGCAAACAGG
rnacentral:rRNA from 1 species